rnacentral:tRNA from 1 species
CCCCCGAUGGUCUAGUUGGAUAUGGCGCUCGGCUGUAAUGGAAGUAUCUAUGUAACCGAGAGGUCGCCGGCUCGAUUCCGGCUCGGGGGA